AUCGCUUCUCGGCCUUUUGGCUAAGAUCAAGUGUAGGAAAAGGAAGUAUAAAAAGUUUUCAUAUGCUAAUUUCUAUAUGAAAAAUAGGUUUGGUAUUGAGAAAUAAUUACUUCAUAGUUAUUUGACAAUUGACUGUGUCUCACUUCUAACAAUACUGUUUUAGGCCAA
ensembl:snRNA LOC120096431 U2 spliceosomal RNA